UAGGGAAUCUUCCACAAUGGGCGAAAGCCUGAUGGAGCAACGCCGCGUGUGUGAUGAAGGGUUUCGGCUCGUAAAACACUGUUGUAAGAGAAGAAUGACAUUGAGAGUAACUGUUCAAUGUGUGACGGUAUCUUACCAGAAAGGAACGGCUAAAUGCGUGUCAG
rnacentral:rRNA from 1 species